UUGGAAUGAAAUAUGAAUAGAUGUCAUGUGUAUGAGUGAGUAUAACAACUAGAACCACAAUUGGAAUUUUAAAAGCCUAAGUAGUGUAUCAUUGUUAGAAGAUACAAAGACAAACACUCAUACGUACUUCGGCUACACCAUAAAAGCUUUGAGAAGCAAGAAGAAGCUUGGUUUGUGUUCUGGAUACGAAUAUGACUUGAUGUGAUGUGUAUGAUUGAUUAUAAGAAAUUAAACCGCAACCAGAUCUUAAAAGCUUCAGUAUUGUUUCCUUGUUAGAAGAUACAAAGGCAAAGCCUCAUACAGACUUUAGCUAUACUAUCAAAGCCUUGAGAAGCAAUAAGAAGCUUGGUUAGUGUUUUGGAGUCAAAUAUUACUAGUAGCAUGUGUAUGAGUGAGUAUGAUAACUAGAACCAUAACCGGAUCUUAAAAACCUAAGUAUUGAAUCUUUC
rnacentral:sRNA from 1 species